GCCUGCUUUGGCAAGACAUAUGCUAAAAUUGGAAAGGUACAGAGAAAAUGAACACAGCUCCUGUCUAAGGAUGACAUCAAUUCCUGAAGCAGUCCAUGUUCUU